GUUGCUCUCUGCAUGUGCUCUGGCACAUUUCCAGUGCCGCGCCCGUUCUGCCUGGCGCGGAAAGGCUCUUUUGCGUGACAUAGGCACGCUAUCAUGGGUGGAUAUUUUCACACCAGUCUUGUUGUUUCUGGAGGCAGGAGGGCUUAGGUGCCUAGAUUUGGCCUUUGCCUUUCUAGGAUUGUCCCCUGAGGGGUUUAAAGAGGAGCGCGGUAAGCUCGUAGGUGUGGCCGAUGCUUCUGCGGGCACAGGUUGUGCCAAUAAGGCCUGAGAUAUAGUCUGGGACAGGGCCGAGGACAUGGAGCCCAUGGCGGCCAUAAUGGCGUCUGUAACGGAACGUUGCAGUGCCAAGGCAUCAUCCGGCACUGACAUAGGGUCACCCGCAGAAGAAGGGGGGCCAGAGCUGGCAGUGUUAGGGUUAUCCAGCACAUGGGGUAUAUCCAUAUCCCCAGGGGAAAGGGGGGAAGCAGCCCCUUUAGGUCUAGGCAUAAUAACAAGGAAUAGUAAUUUCAGGACACAAAUAAAAUAUAUAUAUUUUGUAGAGAAUAGAAAGUAUUAUAUAGAGCUGCUAAAUAUUAGGAAGCACUGUUCUAAG